GACGAACGCUGGCGGCGUGCUUAACACAUGCAAGUCGAACGCUGAAGCCCAGCUUUUGUUGGGUGGAUGAGUGGCGAACGGGUGAGUAACACGUGAGUAACCUGCCCCCUUCUUUGGGAUAACGCCCGGAAACGGGUGCUAAUACUGGAUAUUCACUGAUCUUCGCAUGGGGGUUGGUGGAAAGGUUUUUCUGGUGGGGGAUGGGCUCGCGGCCUAUCAGCUUGUUGGUGGGGUGAUGGCCUACCAAGGCUUUGACGGGUAGCCGGCCUGAGAGGGUGACCGGUCACAUUGGGACUGAGAUACGGCCCAGACUCCUACGGGAGGCAGCAGUGGGGAAUAUUGCACAAUGGGCGAAAGCCUGAUGCAGCGACGCCGCGUGAGGGAUGGAGGCCUUCGGGUUGUAAACCUCUUUCGCUCAUGGUCAAGCCGCAGCUUUGGGUUGUGGUGAGGGUAGUGGGUAAAGAAGCGCCGGCUAACUACGUGCCAGCAGCCGCGGUAAUACGUAGGGCGCGAGCGUUGUCCGGAAUUAUUGGGCGUAAAGGGCUUGUAGGCGGUUGGUCGCGUCUGCCGUGAAAUCCCUCUGACUUAACUGGGGGGCGUGCGGUGGGUACGGGCUGACUUGAUUGCGGUAAGGGAGACUGGAACUCCUGAUGUUCGGUGAAAUGUACAGAUAUCAGGAAGAACACCGGUGGGCGAAGGCGGGUCUCUGGGCCGCUCUUGACUCUGAGGAGCCAAACCUUGGGGGAGCGAAAAGGAUUAAAAUACCCUGGGGAGUCCAAGGGCGAAUUCUUAGUGGAUACAAGCCUAAUCGAACCCGUCGCCUAAGAGGGGAUUGUCCUGCGACGCCGUAUUUUUUCCCUAUGAGAAUGUCAAUUAUCC
rnacentral:rRNA from 1 species